AUGGUCGCAGUGGACAUCAACCCAUCUGACUAGACUCUAGGGCUGACACCAACUGUGACCACUG
rnacentral:miRNA from 1 species